AGCCCACAAGCAACUUUUCCCUCUGGCCGGCUCGUGGGCUGAGGGAAUGGCCUUGGACUGGGCUGGGAGGGGCCCUGUUACCCUGUUAGCCGGAGCACUGCUGCCCUCAGUGCAGGAGAAGGGAACAUGGAAUGAACACAGACCGUGAAAUGUCCAAUAUGCUGUGGGCAGGAGAAGAGUCCUGUGGCUGAGGAUGUUGCAAAGGACCAUGAAGAACAGCAGAGGGAACUCUAGAGGAAAUUAAAAAGUCAUACUCUUGAAAGCAGAUAAACUCAGCAAACACAAAUGCAGGAGAUCUGAAAAGCUCUAGCAGUGAGCAGUAGUGAUUCCUGAAGUGCUGUUGGGUGUGUGCACUCAGUAAGACAAGGUUCAUGAACUUGAAGACCAAAUCCACAAGAUUAUGCAUGAGCAUAAAGAGACCAAAUGAAGACUGAAGACAUAAUUUUAUUUUUGGCACUUCCUAGUUCUGCAUGAGUGACUGCACUCAACAGUUGGCAGAAGCAAGUCCUGGCCAGGAGCAGGUCCCUCCCAACACCAGGUGUGCUCCAGCAGGACAUGAUCUCCACACAGCAUUGGGUCCUUGGUGACUGCCCUGGGAUGUCAGCCACAAGUGGCUCCAUGGGUGCCUAAAGGACUGAGAGCUCUGUCACACGCUUCACUGUGUUCUGAGUAACCCUAAACACUGAAGAGCCAGGAAUAACUCCUUUGCUGCAGUCAGUGCUUGAUACAGGCACUUCUUUUAUCUACUGAGUGAAAUAAUCAAAGACAAGAGAAAACACUGAGCAGGUAGCUGGUGGCAGAGUAGAAGCAAUAUCUGAAAGAUUAUCACAGCUCCAGAGGUCAAUGUGCAUUUCAAAAAGCACACUGUGCUGUGGGUCUCUGCCCACAGCCACCAAGGGUGCCCACCACCCCCUACCCACAGACUGCCAGAUGCCACCAGCCAAGGCUCUGACACUGCUUUAGGAACAAGAAAUUAUAUUUAGCAUUGGCUCAGCUUUUUCAGUAACUAGAUAGAGAGAAAGACUGAAGUAGUCUGCAACAGGCAGGACAUCAGCCCCUUAUUCCACUUGUCCUGAAAGAUUGUUGACACAUGCCUAUAAAGUGCUCAAAAUAUUACAUAUGCCCAGAACUGUUAUUAUCACAGAAAAU